CGGAAUGAGUACACUUUAAAUCCUUUAACAAGGAUCUAUUGGAGGGCAAGUCUGGUGCCAGCAGCCGCGGUAAUUCCAGCUCCAAUAGCGUAUAUUAAAGUUGUUGCGGUUAAAAAGCUCGUAGUUGGUUCUGUGUGCCCAUGCUGUCGGUUCACCGCCUGCCGGUGCAACUGACAUGUCAUGGGACGUCUUGUCGGUGGCAAUUAAGGGGCUAAUUUUUAGUAAAGGCUUGCCUUAACUAAAUUUAGGUAACUUCAAUUGCCGAUUAAAUCCUGCCGCGGUGCUCUUCACUGAGUGUCGAGGUGGGCCGACACGUUUACUUUGAACAAAUUAGAGUGCUCAAAGCAGGCAAAAAUCUGCCUGAAUAGUGGUGCAUGGAAUAAUAGAAUAAGAUCUUGGUUCUGUUUUGUUGGUUUUUAAGAAUCCAAGGUAAUGAUCAAUAUGGACAGGCGGGGGCAUUCGUAUUGCGACGUUAGAGGUGAAAUUCUUGGAUCGUCGCAAGACGAACUAGAGCGAAAGCAUUUGCCAAGUAUGUCUUAAUUGAUCAAGAACGAAAGUUAGAGGCUCGAAGGCGAUCAGAUACCGCCCUAGUUCUAACCA
rnacentral:rRNA from 1 species